AUUUCACUCUCAAGUCUGAAUGCCAAACAGCACGCCAUCUUCAUCGCUGAUAAUCCAAAAGAACCAACCGUCGCCGAAGCCAACGUCGCCGAUGAGCAUUCCGUUGCCGAUGAGCAUUCUGUCGUCGAUAACCCAAACCCAGCCGACUCUUCGCCUCCCAAACGUAGCAAACUCUCCAUAGCUCACUCACAAAUUGUUUGAGCUUAUAGAUCGGAGAGUUUGAGGUCGUUGGGAUUUACUUUUACCAAUGAAUGAGAUUUCUUAUUGGUGGCUUUUAGGGGAUUUACUUUUGGCAUUACUUGAAGACAUAUAAGGACAUUUUUCGUUGGUUCUAAUUAUAUUAUGCUACAUUUUUUGUAUUGUUAUAAAACAUCUUGAGUUAUUGUACGUGUUGCAAACAA